GUAUAUAAUGUAUUCGUAUAUAUUGUAUAAUGUAUAUAUUAUGGUAUAUGUAUAUGUAUAUAUGUAUAUGUAUAUAUAUAUAAUAUAUAUAUUUAAUUUAUAUGUAUAUAUGUUAUAUGUAUAUGCAUAUAUGUAUUGUAUAAUGUAUAUGUAUAUAUGUAUAUAUGUAUACUGUAAUAUAAUAUGUAUAUAUGUAAUAUGUUAUAUAUAUAUGUAUAUGUAUACUAUAUGAUAUAGUAUAUGUAUAUGUAUAUAUAUAUGUAUAUAUAUCUAUAUGUAUAUGUAUAUAUGGAUCGUAUAUUAUGUUAUAUAUAUAUGUAUAUUGUAUAAUGUAUAUAUAAUGUAUAUGUAUAUGUAUAUACGUAAUAUUGUCAUACUUAUAUAUGUUAUAUAUUAUAUUUAUUGUAUAUAUGUAUAUGUAUAUUGUAUAUAUGUAAUAUGUAAUAUAAUGUAUCUAUGUAUAUGUAUAUAAUAUGUAUAUUAUGUAUAUGAUAUAUAUAUGUAUAUGUAUAAUAACAUAUAAAUAUACAUAACAUAUAUACAUAUAUCUACAUAACCAUAUAUAACAUAUACAUAUAUACAUAUACAUAUAUAUAUACAUAUACAUAUACAAUAUAUACAUAUAUACAAAUAUACAUAUACAUAUAUACAUAUAUCAUAUACAUAUAUAUAUAUAUAUACUAUAGUUCAGCCUAUGGUCUUAUCAAAGCACACAAGCACUUCGUGUGUAAGUUUUUUACCGUUACCGAUCUAACUCCUCGGAUCCCAUUUUCAAACCAUUAUAAUUAUACUAUUCAACGCACCACCUCACUCAUCCUCUAGGGCCUACAUCAUCCUACCGCACUAUCUCUUUAAUCCAAUGCUAAAAAAUCUACACAAGCACCUAUAAACUUGGUAGCUUUCUAAAUAGCAUAGACUUCAAUUCUAUAUAUAUUAUAUAUAAUAUAUAUAUAUAUAUAUAAUACUAUAUAUAUAUAUUAUAUUAUAUUGUAUAGUGUAUACUAUGUAUAUGUAUAUAUGAUUAUGUUAUAUAUAUAUAUAUAUUUUUAUAUAUAAUUAGUAUAUUUAAUAUAUACUGUAUAUGUAUAUGUAUAUGUAUACAUAUAUAUACAUAUAUACAUACAUAUGUAUAUAUGUAUAUAUAUAGGCUAGGGCUACUAUACUCUUAUGAGUAUAGAGCACUUUGUACUCAUAAGUUUUCGACCAUUGGAUGAAAGGAUAUGCGGUUAGGAUGAUAAUGGUCCAAUCCAUUCGCAGAUCUAAUGGACAGAUCUCUUGAUAUCGCGUGAGGAUCAAGGAGGGUUCUUAUGUAGUGAAACGAAAAUUUUGCGAAAAGCCUACAUUUUAUAUAUCGAUUUGCGUGAAAUCGAGCAUAGGGGUACAUUAGCGCGUUUUACUCGUGCUGUGAAGGACUCAAAUUAAAAUAUUUGGAUUUGGGGGAUUUUUGCGCAAAAUGAAGCUUUGUAUUUAUAUUGGCCACCUAGGGUUUUCAUGAUCCAAAAACGCUAACCCUGGCCCAUUGUGUUCAACUGAGCUCCCAGCCGCCUCUCAUCCUUUACCCUCAUGCACCGCGCGCUGCCUGACCCCCGCUGACCUAGCUCUGGCCGGCCAACCACCUCCUCAGCCACUAUCUCCUUCUCUCCCUCUCACAUUGCCACCAACUCCUCUUUUUCUCUGCUCGAGUGCUUGGCAGGGUGAUCUCUCACCCUUGGGCUCUCCUCCGGCGACGCCCCGAACCUCCGGCGACCUCCCCCAGCUGGCCACAGCCACCCCCGAGCGCCACCGCCGAGAAUGCUAUAGCAUGCAGUCAGCUCAGGCUGGUGCGGCCGAGCCUUGCCACGCCGUCUUCUCGGCUGCCGACCGCCGACCGCCGUCUUCUCUGGAGCCGAAGGCCGUGCCCCUCCCCUGCUUACUCGGGCCAUCUCCGUGGCCGGAGAAGCGAGCUAAGCCCCUCUCGGCUUUACAGGAAGGUCAUGCCCCUCCCCUACUUACUCCGGUCAUCUCCGUGGCCGGAGAAGCGAGCUAAGCCCUAGGUGAGCCUGUGCGGGCUCAGUUUCUUCCCGUGCCGCCACCGCCGCCUCCUGCUGUCGGCCGACACGUCCGCCGGCACCCCUUGUCGGCCGCGCUCGGCUGCCGUCGGCACCUCCGUCGCCGGGGUCCCCUGUCGGCCGGAUCGAAGUGAACUCUCUUUUGACCCGUGCGGCUAGGUCAUCAUUGCCCGCAGCCACCGCCGCCUUCUGUCGCCGGCAGACGCGCGCCCCGACCUCCCCCUGCCGGCCGCACCCACCUGCCGCCGGCACCCCUAGCUCUCCCCUGGCCUGUAAGCUAAUUUACUGUUGUUUGUGCACUGUUUUGGGGUUGUUUGCACUGUUCCGGCGAUCCGAGGCUACCCCGAUGCCUCCGGAACUGAGCACGAUGAUCCUUGAUCAGUGCUGAUCAUCGUGCCCAUCUCCUUUGGGGUCAGCGAGCCCCUGGUUUGUGGAAUGAGCGUGAUUUAAGUUCAGUGCACGUAGUUCGUUGAAUUUCGGGUUGCCGCCGCACCCUCCACAGUGAGCCUGUAAGGACUGAACCUUUGCAAAUUGCGAGGUUCGAGUGUUUGAUCUGUGUGACGAGCCAUCUCAGACUUUCUGAAGGGUCGUAGACAGUGUGCCGACCCAUGGUUCGAGUCCCGAGAAUUGUGGUUUGAAGCGGUGUACCAAAAUCCAAAAAGUUGGAUUUUUGGUUAGCUCUCGGGUUGCCUUCAGCGGGCUGCGUACCGGUACGGGUUCGCUUGCUGUACCGGUACGUGAUCGAUGGCUGUACCGGUACGUGGUAGUGUACCGGUACACAGACCAUUUCCCAGCAAACCCGAGGCUCGGGUUUGGCUUUUCGUGGGUGGUGUACCGGUACACAAACCCGUGUACCGGUACACAGUGCAGAGNUUCGCUUGCUGUACCGGUACGGGGUUGAUGGCUGUACCGGUACGUGGUUGUGUACCGGUACACAGAGCAUUUCCCAGCGAACCCGAGGCUCGGGUUUGGCAGUUCGUGGGCAGUGUACCGGUACACAAACCCGUGUACCGGUACACAGUGCAGAGCGGGCUGUUUUCGUGGAGGGGUGUUUUUGCAAUUGUUGCAACACCUAUAUAUGACACCCCAGCCCCUUUGUGAGCUCCUUUGAGCCCUAGACCAGUGGAGAAAAGGUGAGAACUCCUCCCCUAUGGUUUCUUCUCCAUUUUUGUUAGGUUUUUGCUAGUUUUGAUCUCUUUUCUCUUCUCCUUCUUGCUUUUGUGGGUAUUUCACCAUUGGAGAAGAGUGAGAUCUUGGUUGGAGCUUGUUUGAGGAUCAACCUUCAACCCUAGAGGACUUUGGAGCUUGGUUUGGAGCUUUUAAGAGGUUUGUAGCUUUUUCUCUCCUCUAGAUUCGAAUUUUGUUGGAUGUUACUGGAUCAAACCCUAGAUUUUGAGUUUUAGGGCUAAAAAUGGGGAUUUUUGAUUUGUAGCUUCUAGAACCAAAUUGAUUGGUUUAGAACUUUGAUUUAGGUUGAAUUUGAAGGAAUCUAACUCCCUUUACGAGAUCGAGAGAGAUUCGUUAGCUUUCGGUGAGUUUUCUCCAACCUAGCUAGAAAAGCUUAAUGUUUGAGCUUAGCUUUGUUCGUGAGCUUUGUUUGACACAUGUUUCUAUACCUCUAGGAUACUAGGAGACUAGAGGACACCCUCGUUGGAGCGCACGAGGAGUUUCGUUGUCAUCGGUGGGUUUGGCUUCCUUGAAAUCGGAGGAAAUUCCUCCUAAGUGGUUAAAUGCUUUCAUUCUCUUCAAAUUCAUGCAUAUUCAUGUUUAGUAGCAUUUAUGGGAAUUUUGAAUGCUUAGAACUCAUAUGUUAUGCAUCAAGGAAGUUACUCUAUAUAGUAGAGAGACAAAUGUGCUUUGUUAAUAUGCAUGCGACGAAUACUCUAUGAGAUGAUAGGAAAUAAGGCUUCAUGCUUCGAUUUUGACUAGAAAUUAUAAGUUCUUGAACUUAUUAUCCAUGUUGGGACAAAAUGAGCCAUAGUGUCAUAAAGAGGCACUUGGACUAGAGAAUUAUUAAACUGCAACAUAGAGACUUGAUAAUGGGCCACAUUGACAUCAACUAUAUUCCAUAUUUGAGAUAUGAUAAAAUAGUGACUCAGCCACGAGGACAUUGCUAUAUACCAUGUUACUGAACAUGAGAAUUUGGUACUUGCGACUGAUCGUUUGAUUACUUGCCAUUGUGCUGAUUCGCACAUGCUUGUGAGGGUCGCUCCCUACAAGCCGGCACUCCGGAGAUGGCCAUCGCGAUACAUAUUCGCCGUGCGGGAUUGGGCGCCGAAGUGGAUUGCCGUGGGACAGGCUCAUUCCCAGGGUGGGGAUGAUGACUACCACGGGGCCAUCAGGCUCGGCACCGGCCAGACAGCCUACGGGUGGGUCUCAGGGCCAUAGACAGCCUUCGGGUGGGUCUCUUCAGAUUCGACUUGAGUAUUCAUCAUGACAUGUGGACAGAUGAUGACUUAGAGUAUUAUUUGGACAUUGACUAGAAUAGUAAACAUCGGAACUUUACUAUUUCGCAUUGUGAACAUUAUGAUAGUUGGAGACUUAUACUUCAUGCAUAGUUGCUUUCGUACUCAUGCUAUUUAUGCUAAGUGGAGACCUUAUGCUAUAGUAAGUUAUAUUUUACUUACCGUCUAAUUAUUACAUUGUUAGUCACUGACCUCUUCUUGUAGCUUUUGGGCCUUGUGGCGCAGUUCACUGAAGUCAGUAAUUGCCCACUGGGAACUAUUUUUAAUAGUUCUCAUGCCCGUUGUUUCUAAUGUUUUCUUUUCAGAGCUUCAGGCACCGCGGAGGCCACGGAUCGCGGCGCAAGGGUGUCGCGUAGCUAGCCCGGGAGAGUUCUUUUGCGCUAGGUGGUUGCUUCUUCUCCAUUUUUAUAUUUUGAGAGAGAGAGGGCUUUGUAUCCAUGUAUAGAGACCACCUGUGUACCCACUUAUAGCACUUGUAUUUGGGAUCCCUAUUGUACUACUUUAUGUCUUAUUUAGUAGAUUUACAGUUUUAUCCUUAUUCCUUGUUGUAGCAUUUAGACAUUUAUUAUGCUCUGAUACUCCUAGAUGUCUCUUAUUACUGCUUUUAUUAUUGUUAUUUUUAGACGCCUUAUAUGUUGUAGACAUAUGGCGGGUCUGGGCACGCGCCGGGCGGGCUUUCGCUGGGUCCCGGGGCGUGACACAUUUGAAACUAGUGAAAUAGAACACUACGGCAUUUGAAUAUAGGGAUAGUUGAGUUUCCGAGUAAUUGUUAAUCCUAGUUGAUAGGGUAUCCUUAGUUGGCGAGAAUUGGAUCAUACUCACAUAGUCUGUUAUGCGCUUGGUAGUUGUCGCCCCACCCAAGCAGUGCGCUCCGGAGUUGUCACGCAAGGGGUAGACGUAGUUGUCCCACAGGCGAUCUCGGGUGGGAUAAGAGCGGGGUAGCUCCUCACCUAUGAGAUUUGAGAUGUGAGUCGCGGCAAACCUUUGGGUUAACCAAGUGAUUGGGUUAUAACAUGGAUGACAUUACUUCUUGAACAUAAUAGCAUGAUAGCUGAUUUCAUUACUAUGUAGUUCAUGCAUUCAUUACAGUUGAUUGAGGCAUAGUAGUGUAUAUUUGUAGAAUUCAUUACUAUGUCAUAGUUGUUUUCAUAUCUAUCUAUCUAUCUGCUUAUGCCUGUUUAGACCUAGUGGGAAAAUCGGCGGAGUUAGCGGCUGAACCCACUGGAAACUAUUCGUAGUUCUCAUCCCACUUUGUUGCAGGGCCAAGUUCGAGCGCUCCGGGUGAGGAUCGUGGUAAGAGCAUAGCGACCUAGUAGCUAGUAGCUUUCCAUUUGCAUUAGAGUACCCUCGAGUACAUAGUGAUAUUGAUGUAUAUGUUGGUGAGGAUUUUGGAGAGUUACUUAUGUAUUUAGAUGAUGAACUUGUAAACCAUGUGUAUAUAUUUUGGGAGAUGUAAAUGUAAACCUGUUGCUAAAUGGUCGAAUGGUUGUAAUAGUUAGAACUCUCUCUCUUUUGCUCUCUUGUGUGCUUGUAUGUAUACUCUCAUUGUUCAUGUAUGUUGUUUAAGUUUACCUGGGCAACUUGAUGUACAUGACUUGUUGUUUAGCCUUGGGCGGGCAGGGGAGGUAAUGUCCGUUCGGCGUCUGUUUGACGUGCCCCAACCGGCCAAAUUGGCGAUCGUGGGGCGUGACAGCAUGUGUCUCAGCUGACCUCGAAAGCCCUCGGUUUGCAAUAUCGAGCUGAAAAACCCCGUAAAUCACAUGAAAUAAUGUGAUUUUAUGUAUUUGUAGGGGUUUUAUGCAAUUGGGCACUUUGUGGCUGCUGUGGGCAGUAUGUGUAGGUGGCCGGUGAUCUCUGGACUGAUUGUCCAAAAUCCGAGGCCUUUACGAAAAUCGAAUAUCGAUUUCCGGUGCGUAUUUCGGCGAAAUUCACCGACGGAACACGGUUUCGGUCCAGAUUCCUCCCGACGAUGUUCGAGUGUACUAUAUACUUUGUCGUUGAGCCUGGUUGGCUGGUCACUUAUGUUGUUUCGAAAGCCUGGAGACGACGGGUGAGCGACAGUGGGUUCCGGUGUCGAAAUUGACACUUUCGGGAAUCCGGAUCGAAACAGUUAUCUGACGAUAAUCGUUCCGGUUUGAGACUUGAUGUUUGCUGCCAGGACACCUUUAAUAUUGUGUUUUGUGGCAGCGGGUGACUCGUGGCACUAGUCGGUGAGUGCUGGGACACUUCGUGGGUCCCAGCAGAGUUCAGGUGCGAUUUUCGAAACUUUCGACGGAUUACGGUAAUCGAUUUUGGAAAACCGAUUCCCGUGGGAUUAUUUGUGGGGUUAUGGGUUUAGUGUUCCUUAUAUUUGGGUUAGAUACUAACUCGGUGGACCCUUCGUAGGUUCGGUUGAUAAUCUUCCACAAUAGGAGAUAGGCACGAUAUUCAUACAGAUGGAUACUUCGAUGCGAAGUCGGUGUAGUGGAACAACAACGAAACCUCUACCGAGUGCGUGUAUCAUCUUUUUAUCACAGAAAAUGUCACGCCCCGCGACCCGCCAAUUUGGCCAGAUCCGGGCACGUCGAUCAGACGCCGAACGGACAGCACCUCCCUGUCCGCCCAAGGCUCAACGACAAUAUCAUGUAUCAGAAUUUGCCCAGGAGAAAUUCAUUCAACAUACAUGAUACGACGAAGCACCACUAGUGCUAUACAAUUAAGAGCAAGAAUCACAAGUAACAUACAAGUGAAAUAAAGAGAGAUACAUCUAGCUAUUACAUUCAUUCAACCUCAUUUUUCAUAUUGAUUUACAUUUUCAUCUUCCCAAAUGAAUACAUAUUCUUCUCAUAAAACAAAAUGGCUCUCCAAUAUCUAUCCAAAAUAUACAUGGUAUCUAGUACACGAAGGUAGUCUAAUUUAUAAUGGAAAGCUACUAACUAACUCACUUAAGGCGCUAUGCCCUUACCGCGAUCCUCACUCAGUUAGCCCCUAUGUGUACCUGUACCCCAAAACCACAUGGGGUGAGAACUAUAUAAAUAUAGUUUCCAGUGGUUUUGGCCGCCGACGCCGCCGGUUUUCCCACUAGGUCUAAGCUGGCACAGAUAGAUAGAUAGAAAGGUAGAUAGAAAUACAUUGCUACUAUAUCUACUAUGCCAUCAAAUGCAAAGAAUGCAUGGAACAUCAUCUAGCAAUAAUCUACUAUUUUGCUAGUAUGCUUCAACAGUGUAAUGAAUACAACUACAACAUAGUUAUGCAGUCUACUAUAUCUAAUCAUGGUAUGAAUGCAAUCCACUUAUGCUAUUCAUGUUACGACCUAAUCGACUAGGCCAACUUGCCUAAAAUCUCAAAUCUCAAAGGUCCUAGGCAAAGAGCUACCCCGCCCCUUGCCCGACUCAAUCUCGAAGGUCCUAGGCAAAGAGCUACCCCGCUCCUCGCCCGACUCAAUCUCGCUCUACUAGGUACGAGCUGCCCGCUCAAAUCUCAUAAGUGAAGUAAUAGUAUGUCUCAACAAUAAAAAAAUGAGCUACUACAUAGUGAUGUCUCUACACAUGCUACUAUGUCUCAACAAUAAAGAAAUGAGCUACUACAUAGUGAUGUCUCUACACAUGCUACUAUGUCUCAACAAUCCGAAUGAACGAGCUACUACAUAGUGCGUCGUGCAAUUAUACCUCGAUAGUAUCCAAUCUCAUAGCCAACUCGAAGGUUGCCACCCCGGGGUCAACCCCGACUUACUCUCAAUCUCAUAGGUGAGGAGAAUUUGUACUCGCACACCGAGACCAUCUGCGGGACAACUACGUCUGCCCCUAGUGAAGUACUCCGGAGACUCGUGCCUCGGUGGAGCGACCACCGACAAGCAAAACAGACUAGUGAGUAUGAUCCAAUCCUCACAAGAGGAUACCCUAUCUACCAGGGUAAAUGUGCCUCUGCUGCACAAUACCAAAUGCAUAAUCAAUGCCUCAAAAGCACUAAUGCCAAAUGCAUAAUGUCUACAACAUGACAAUCGGAAAAAUCUACUAUCCCUAGGUUCAAAUGCCAUAGUGUUCCACUACACUAGGUUUGAUGCCACUCGUUUAUGUCAUGAUGUUAUAUGCGUUUUAAUACACUAAAUCGACAUGCCACUCGUCAAUAUUAUAGUGUCUUUAUUACACUAGUCCAAAUGCCACUCGUCUAGGCCAAUUACAUGUCCAAGUUCAUCAUCAUUCUUGUCACUAUAGGAUUCUUGUCACAAGACCCAAUCCUCAUGCAACCUAAGAUCAAGUGUCAAGCCCACAAUGCUACACAACCUAGGUAACAUGCAAGGAAUGGAAAUGUAAUCAUCUACUAAUCCUAUAAUGCACAAUAUAUCAACAUAUAGGAAUAUGAUCAAAAUAUAGAACUUAGACAUAAAAGGAAGCUCAGUUGCUUCGGGAUGGACACCCUCCUACCUUUCAAUGCUACCAAGAGGCUAGGGUUCCGAUUUCGUGAUUUUUGGAAGCUUUCGCCGCAAGCUGCGGCAAUCUGUACCUUAACGGCUUCGUUCUUUAAUAUCUUCGCGUACGCUAGUCGUAUCGCCGAACCGACUUCACCAACGCGUCAGAAAACCUAGCAAUUAGGUCUAUACAUGAUCAAUUUAGAUCAAACCCUCGCACAUUACAAAAUCUCAUUUUUGAGCCCUAACAUGCAAUUACCCCCAAAUAAUCCAAAUUAAACGGAGCAACAUGCUAAGAAUGCUCAUUAGAGGCUACUAGAACACUUAAGGUUAAGGAUUAAGCCAAAUCCCAAAAUUUUACCAAAAUGUGAACGCCGAGACGGAAGCACGCCACUCCAACGGGCGCAUGAAAACUCGAUCCGUUGCUCCCAACGCAUUCGCAAGCUCGUUCUCCGCCAACGCCGCGAAUUCGGGCGAAAGAUCUAGAGAGAUGAGAGAGUUAUUUAGAGAGAGAAAGUGAGGAUUUCUCUCACUACCACCAUGAACGUGUGGUGUUGUGGGGGUGGUGGUGGUUGUGAAGAAGAAGACUAGAAGCUUCUACUUAUAGCCCACACCCCAAUAGUAGCAUACACUAUUUACUUCAGGCAGUUCGAAAUCUGAUAUCUUUCGUCGGAGCUCUCUGAAUAUCCGUUUGAGCUCAAAUUUGAUAGUCAUGUUCGGUUUUGCUUAACUUAACGAAAGAAAUUUUAAUCUUUCAGUUUCGACCCCGUUUGGUCACCGAAAGCUGUACCGAACUGUAAUCUUUAUCAGACAAUUGUCGGAUUUUAUUUUCCACCUUCCGGGUGUCAGAAUGAUAUAAAACUUUAAAUCUAGUCUAAUAAAAAUAAUUCUGACUUAUCCUCCAGUUUUCAUAAUUUUUUGACACUCUGCAUUUUCUACUAAUUUAUCUGUCUCGUUUCACACAGAAAAUUUUAAAUAUUCUGUUUUCGCUCCGAUUUCAGUACAAGUCAUUUCUAACCUAUAUUUCACUUCUCUAAAUUCAAUAAAAAUAGUAUCUCAUACUAUUUUUAUUUAUUUUCACUUUUAUAUUUAAAAUCCGGUAUGUUACAUUCCACCGCAACCUCACCGGAACCAUUUAAAUGUACACCGUAAUUUCAUAAUUUUAAAAGUCCGGUACCCUACAGAAAAUUUGCUACAAUUUGAACUACUUGGUGUAAAUUGCAAUGGAGUAGCAAUAAAUAUUUUUCUUAUAUUUUCUACUGAAAGUUCUUAGAAUGUAAUUAAAAUAAAAUAAAAAAAUUAAUCAUUGUUUAAUAAUCAGUUAGUUCUUUGACCACUUCACUUUAUGAAUAUCUAGAUUAUCUAAACUUUUUGAAAUCCAAACAAUCUUUUGUCAUUACUCAAAAGAAAAAAAAAUUGUUUGCUGGCGAGCCAUUUGCUCUCCGGAUCGGCAAUGAUCGUUUAGAUGGGGAGGGCCCCACCAUACAUAAAAGGUGGGCCCCUCUCAUGGUGCGGUGCUCGCAGUUUCGGCGAGCCAAUUUUGGCGAGCAUAGUAUUGCGCUACUCGAAACGGGGAAAAGUAAAAAUCCAGAAAAUUGAACUCCUUGCAAUGAAAUGAAAUUAUUGGAGUAAAAUUCAAAGUCCUGCAAUUAAGAUAAAUAACGCCCAUGUCAUGGUCCAAAAGAUGACAAAAGCAAUGAGCUAUCAUAAUAAUGAAGAUCAAGAAAAUAAAAAAGUUAAGAAACGAAACGUAACUGUUCAUUUAAAUUUCUCAUAUACUAACCACACUAGUACAAUUUUUUUUUCUUUAAACCUUUAUAUUCCCUUCUUGAAACUUAGGGAUUGUUGGUUUUGCUGUAGCUAUAAAUAAAUAUAGUAAAAUUAGAAAAGCAUGCCGUUAGAGAUACAACAAACAUAUCCUUUCGACAGUAUGUAAUUGAGAGUGAUUUAACUAGAAAAUUUGCUUGAGUGUUCGAAGUUAAAAUUGCAUUCUGUGUCGAGGGUACCUCUAGAAAAAUAAAAAUGUAUCAUUUUUUAUUUAAGAGGUGAAUGUGUAAAUAAAGUUACUCGUUUAGAAGUACUCUUUUCCAUUACUUCUUCUCUAACUACGUAUGAUUUGUGAGCAAUUCGAGAUGUUAUAGUUGAGCCUCCAUCAGUAGGUCCAACUCAGCAUGUUGAUGUAAUUAUACAAUAAACUAAACAAGAUUUUGUAGUCUUAACGUAAUGAUACUUGCAAUGCAACGUGAAAUGCAAGUAACCGAACAAUACGAGCAACCAAACAACCUCUGUAGAGAAAUCAAAGUCACGACUAUUGUAUCCGGAAAUAAUACUGCUGUGCAUUUUCCAAACAUUGUAGUGGUAUGAUAUAUGGCUCGCCUCAUUGGAAGAGUUUUGUGCACAAGGUUGCAGAAAAAUCAGAUCCUUCAAUAUUUUGGAAUUUCAAGGAUUUCGAUUGAUUUAUGAGUUUGUGCACGCAGAGAAAGAGAGCCUCAAUAUACUUUCCAAUAUUGUAUGAGCAAUCGCGUUCCCCCAUCUCUUUCUUUUUUCUUUUUUUUUUUUUUUUUUUUUACCCCCCAAAAGGCAAGCACAUAACCCCUUUUACAAUCCUACCAAUGAUUUUUUUCACUAAGGACUGGGAGUCAUAAUAACAUCCCACCCCUCGCAUAGAUGCCGUAUCAUUGUGGGUAAGGGUGAGGAUGGUUUGAAUUUUAUUUGAUCGAAUCCUAAAUCGUACUUGAUCGGAGCCGGAUUCGAAUGUCAAAUUAGCUAUUCGAUUGGAUUUGGACUUGAAUUCAGUAAUAAUAAUAAACUUUUCUUUGGAUUCGAUUUUGAAUUCGAAUCCAGAUUUUGUUAUCCUUCAUAUGCGAUGCGUUUCGGCUAUAGAUACGGAAGCGGAUUUGAAUAUUAGUGUUCAAAUCUGUUUUCAACAUGUAGGCUGAGCACUGGGAAAAAGAAGAGUGAAUAUACAUAGUGCAAAGGCAUUUCAAAACUUGGCGUUUGGUCUUUAAAAUAAAAAAGUAAACCAAUCAGGGAUUCAGGAGAGCUCCUUAAGUGUAGAGUUUCUUUUUUUUUUUAUAUAUAUAUAUAUAUAAAAAUUUUUAACAUUUCAAUUUUUUUUUUUGAGAAAUAGGUAGCAAGCAACCUACUUCAUUCAUUAAGUAACAUGAAUUUAGCGUACAUAAUGGAAGCAGCUAGGGCCUCCGGACCGAGCCGGCGACAAAAGAAAAACAAAAGCAAAACAAAACAGGAACACUAAGUAGACAUAGAGAGACAGACAAAACGUUACACAGAAAACAUAGAGAACAUAGAGAUUGCAGGAGGGUUCAAAGUGCUUCGUUCCAGGCUCUGAUCAAAGAAGCGACACGUUCGGUAGCCCAGGAAGCGUUAUGAGCCGCGUCGCUAAAGCACAUGCUAUUUCGUUCCGUCCAGACGACCCACCAAAUUGCCACCAAGUGGGUUAAACUUUUCGAUCUUAUUUCGGUCACGCGAUUCUCGGAGAUCUGUAUCCAAAAUCUCCGAACAUCCCCCGCGUCCGAAUCAGCUAGCACAAGGGGUCCAACUUUAUAUCGGAGGUAUCUGACAAAGAUACAGUCAUGGAACAGGUGAUAGCAGGUUUCGGGUAGUAACGCGCAGAACUUGCAAUGCUGGUCCACCGGGAACCCUCGGCGAAUCAAUCUGUCCGCUGUGAGUAAUCUCUUUCGAAGUAGAAUCCAAACAAAAACUUUAUGCUUAAGUUGGAUUUUUAACCCCCAAAGAUGAUCGUACAAAGAAUCUAUCUGUCCUCCAUCAGAGAUAAAAUCGUAAAGGGACUUAACGGUAAAAUUUUGGUUCGCGGUCCAUCGCCAUUUAGGUAUGUCCUGCGUGAUCGAUGGUCUAUAUUGAGCGAGCAGGCUUUUAAGCGUCGUAGUCUGUUGGCGGAACAAAGAAGUGGUGCUAGUCGCCAGGCCUGUGGUUAUGAAGCGCCAUCUCCACUGUCACGCCCCGAGCUCCGCCAAUUUGGUCGGAUUCGGCCACGUCGACAGACCGCCGAACGAACAGAGCUUUCCCUGUACGUUCUAGGCGUCACAAUCUAAACAAUGCAACAGAAGAGGUCCCAACCAGGAACAGUAGCAAGUAUGUAGAUUGCAUAAGUAUCAAAAACAUAAAAGGCUAACUAUGCAAUUAAUAGCAUUCAUCUCACAAUUUUACAUUUAGAAAAUUUCAUAAGUCUUUAAAUUAUUACAUAAGCCCNGGUCCCAACCAGGAACAGUAGCAAGUAUGUAGAUUGCAUAAGUAUCAAAAACAUAAAAGGCUAACUAUGCAAUUAAUAGCAUUCAUCUCACAAUUUUACAUUUAGAAAAUUUCAUAAGUCUUUAAAUUAUUACAUAAGCCCUUAUACAGUUUACAACUUACACAAUUUAUUACAAAUUUGAUACAAGUUUGUUUCUUUCAUUCUGAACUCCGAGCUAGACUGCUUCAAGGGUACUGCUAUCUCUGGUCUCAGUGGUAGGGCGCUAUCUACGAAGCUACGCCCUGUCCUCGCGCCGCCGCGCCGUUCACGUGCAAACCUGUACCCCCAAAAACCACACGGGGGUGAGAACUAUAUAAAUAUAGUUUCUAGUGGCUACGGCCACCCAAGGGAAGAGCUCGACCCACCAGGUCCAAAAGAGGCAACUGCAGGUUAGUAAACUGAACAGAUAGAUAGAUAUUCGAUGAUACAAUUAGUAAAACCAUACCUUGCCUCACGAUAUGCAAUAUGUAAAUCAUGCAACUAUGUAACAAGUAGAUCGACUGAUCCUACUUUAUAUCUUUAACCAUUCUUUACUUGUAGCCGUUCUUUAUUAGCUAUUUACGUUCAUUAGCUAUUCUUUAUUUCUUAUUCUUUAUUCUUUAUCAUAUUGUGGUCACUGGCGAUUCUUUCCUAAGGUUACUUUACCUUAGUCAUCUAGCCAUCCGACUCGGUCUUGAGUCAAUCAAUCGCGGAUAGUCCGCGCACUAUCUAGCUCGAGGUGAAGGAACUCUCACAUGCACCUCAGCUGGCGACAGCUCACCGUACUCCUGUCCUAACCGUCUAGCGGUGAACGGAUCGCACCUCACCCAACAACUGCCUAGGUGUAUGACUUAGCCACCUGGCGGCGAAAUCGUCGCACACGCCAUGACUGUGGUUCAGUCAACAGGCGGCAGGAUCCACAAACUGGCUUAACUAUCUGGCGGCGAAAUCGUCGCACACGCCGAACAAUGGCUCAAGCCCCUGGGCGGCGAAAUCGUCGCACACACCUAAUGCUCCCUUGGUAUCAACCUCGGCGGCGAAAUCGUCGCACACGCCCUAGCCUUGACACCAAGGUUAUCACAGAUCUUGGGAUUCCGGAAUCCAUUUCCACAACUUAAGGGUUUACUCUUUUACCCUAUUUCGACGACCAUUCUAGGUCUAAAUCAAUCAUCUUUAUGUGGUCUCUCUACCACUAUACCCCAUAACUUAGUCCAACUGUACUAAGUGUUACAAUAUGUCACGACCUAGGUAUCCAAUCACACUAGGUUCUAUGUCAUUUCACCUAGAUCUCAACUCUAGGUUUACUUACUUGACCUAUGUCCAAUGACACUAGGUUCAUGUUCGACCUAUGUUUAUACAUUAGGUUCAUGCCACUCGAUCUAUUUAUUAUCCUAGUUAUCCACGCCUAGGAUUAUAAUUUGCACAUUUACAUUUACCUUGUCACCGUCAAGAUUUCUACUCAACUGGAGUUGUUGAUUUAUACCCAAUUCUUAGGGAUUUAACAUAAGGUUCACAGUUUACAUAUUCUCAUUUAUCUUGUUACCAUCGAGGUUUCUAAUCAACUAGAAUUAUCGACAUUCAUAUAGCUUGAACUAUAGUACAUUCACUUUCAUAUAUGUUUAGACAUAGGCAUCAAACGUUCAUAUUCAACUUACAUGACUUUAGUCUAUGUAUCAACAUUCACAUAUCAUUUAUCAUUCAUACGUUCAUGUAUGUUUAGUCAUAUGCAUCUAGCAUUCAUGUUUAUAUAGGCUUAGUCAUAUGCAUCUAGCAUUCAGGUUUAUAUAGGCUUAGUCAUAUGCAUCUAGCAUUCAUAUCCAUAUGCAUCUAGCAUUCACAUUUCUAGGAUAACCAUUAUAGAUCAUCAUAUAUCAACAAUCAUAUAUGCCUACUCAUAUGCAUCUAGCAUUCAUGUUCAUAUAUCGACAAUCAUAUUCAUUUAUGCGUCAAAUGAAAGCAUGUUUUACUUUGGCAUGGAAGUGACCUAAUCACUUUGGUAAAGCACAACCCACCUUUACUUGAUACCGGAAUGCGAGAAAUUCGCUUCUCGCACUUUCCCGAGAACCACGACCUGCUCUUGCGACAAUUGAUGCCGAAAACGUCUUUUUGGCGCUAUCUUUGCGUAGGCUCGACGGAUUGCCGAACCGACUUCGCCAACGAGUUUCUUUUACCCUCAAUUAGGUUUGUACGCGGUCAAUUUCACGUUAGGACCUUUAUCCUGCAAAAGUGCAUUGUCGGGGUCAAAAUAAAACUAUCGAGCAAUUCAACUUUUAUUUCAUUCCAUCUCUCUUUCUUUUCUUUCUUUUCUUUCUUCUCUUUCUUUUCAUUCUUUUCUUUCUUCUCUUUCUUUUCCUUCCUUCUUUCUUUCUUCCUUUCUUUCCUUUCUUUCUUUUCUUUUCUCUGCAGCCCUGCAGCUGAGCUGCUGCUGCGGCUGCUGACUGGCUGCUGCUGCUGCUGACAGCAGCUAGGCUGAGCUGCUGCUGCUGAAGCUGCUGCUGCGCAAGCUGCUGCUCCUGCUGAGCUGCUACUGCUGCUGCGCAAGCUGCUGCUGCUGAAGCUGCUGCUGCUGACUGCUGCUGCUCCUGCUGAGCUGCUACUGCUGAUUGCUAAUGCCACUGCUGCUACAACCAGUAGCAGAGGGAAAAAUGGAAAGGGAGAAGGAAAGGAGAAGAGAAAAACAAUGAAAUUACCUCUUUUCUUCUUCUCUUUUCUCUUCUUCUUCUUCUCUUCUCUUUCUCUCUCUCUACGUAUAGGAGUGAAGAGGGGGGGGAUAAGGAUGGAGGGCUCCCUGGCAGGGGGUUAGUGGAAAUCCACUAAGCCAUAUGAAAAUUACCAUUUUGCCCCUCGACUUAUCCGUUUAGCGACACAGAUCAAAUACCUUUCGCAGGCCCUUCCGAAAGUCCGAUUGAGCUCAAAUUUGACAGGAAUGCUCGUUUUUACUUAACAAGUCCACUGAAAUUUUAACAUUUCAGUUUUGACCCCGUUUGGUCACUGCGAACUGUCCCGAACUAUAAUCUUCAUCAGAUAACUUUCGGAUGCUAUUUCUCUCUCUACAGGUGUCAGAAUAAUAUGAAACUUCAAAGCUAGCCUCAUAAAACCAUUUCUGACAUCUCCGCAAAGUUUCAUAAUUUUCUGACACUGUGCAUUUUCUACUAAUUUCUCAGUCCCGUCCUUUACAGAAAAUUCUAAAUAUUUUAUUUUCGCUCCGAUUUCAACACAAGUCAUUCCAGACUUACAUUUUACACCCUUAAGUCGAAUCAAAUGGUAUCCCACACCAUUUAUAUUACUUUGCUCACUUUAAUUCUUUUAAUCAAAGUUAGCGUCGGAAAUCCGCAAAUUUUCUUUACUUUUUAUUUCGCGCCCAAUUUGCGUCGAAACACUUAUUUAUCAUCAGAAUUCAUUCUCACACGUCCAAAAUCACUAGGGGAAGAUAUUCAACUAGCUCGAGCUUCACUUUGAUCCCCUAGAUCAAAGUUAGCAUCGCAACUCAAGGUUUCCAUAUAUUACAUCCAUCCUCUUUCAUUCCAGCAUUGUGAGACAGUGGCUUCCUGAUUUGCGGUUCUGCAGCAGAAUAUUCUAGGAAAUCGGGUACUAAGUGGGGUUUCUUCAAUCCAAAUGUCCGACCACCACCUGAUAUUUUUUCCGUCACCAAGUACAUAAGAAAGCCCACAUUUGAACACUUUCUGACAGCUCAUCACACUUCUCCACCACUGGGAGUGCGGUCUGAAGGAUCUUCCCUCAUGUAACGGCUUUCUUCUAGUGUAAUAAAGUGCGGUGAUCAACCUACCCCAUAACAGGUGCCUCUCAUUGAAGAAACGCCACCACCAUUUAGCUAAAAGAGCCAUAUUCAUAGCUUCCAUAUCCUUGAUCUCCAGACCCCCUUCUUUCAUGCUUUUACAUAUCGUUUUCCACCCAACGAGACAAGAACCCCCAGAAAUUUUAGAGCACCCUUUCCAAAAGAAAGAUCUUCUAAGAGCUUCAAUGCGAUUCCGUACCCAAUGUGGCACUUUGAAAAUUGCAAAGUGGAAUAACGGAAGAUUCGACAGUACCGAGUUUACCAGGAUGAGUCUCCCCCCAUAAGAGAGGAGUUUUGCUUUCCAUCCAUCAAUACGCGUCUUGAUGUGGUUGACGAUCGGAGUCCAAUCGUCCUUUCAAAGGGAUUUGGUAUGAAGCGGCAACCCCAAGUAGCGACACGGUAGUUUACCUACUCUACACCCCAAUAUAUCUGCGAGUUGUUUAGCUCUGAAUGCGGUGGUUCCCACAUGGAAAUGUUCCGUCUUGUUCAAAUUAAUCUUGAGGCCAGAGGCCCAUGCAAACAUCUUCCAGAUAAACCGUAAGUUACGCAUCGCGGGCUUUUUGGGCUCCGAGAAGAAAAGCGUGUCAUCCGCGUAUUGCAGAAUCACUGUCUGACACUCGGCCGUCGGUCCAAUUCCCUAAAGCAAGUUAUUACCCCUUACUGCUGCGGUGAUCCUAGCCAAACAGUCGGCCACUAAUAUGAAUAGAUAGGGGGAAAGUGGGUCCCCCUGUCUUAGCCCCCUCCUUGUUUUCAUCCACUUUGUCGGCAAGCCGUUCACUAAAAUGGCGAUUUUGGCGUUACAGAUACAUUGUUCAAUCCAGUCCCGCCAUUUGUCACUGAACCCAAGCCACCGUAAAAUACUUUGCAAGAACUUCUAGCUAACUUUGCCGUAGGCCUUCUCAAAAUCCACCUUAACACUGACGCACUCCUUGUUAGUUCUAGCACACCAGUUGAGUAGUUCAGCUGCAGUGACAAAAGAGUCCGCUAGUAGUCGGUCUUUCAGGAAAGCCGAUUGAGAUGAAGAGAUAAUUGAUGGUAACACCGCCGCAAGUCUGUUCGCGAGCACUUUCGAGAUAAUCUUUUGAAUACCGUUUAGGAGGGAAAUUGGUCGAAAAUCGUUAACCUGGCAUGCACCUUCCUUUUUGGGGGUUAAACAUACAUAAGAGUAGUCUGCUGGUGCCGUGCAAAGGUCGGAAUUCUGAAGGUCUAAGAAAAUAUCAAAUAUGUUAUCCUUAACCGUCUCCCAGAAAUAUUGGAAAAAGAUCAGGGGGAAGCCGUCGGGACCUGGUGCCUUGUCACUACCUAGUUGAAAGAUAGCCUUUUUAACUUCAUCCAAGUUAAAGGGUGCCGAGAUGAGAUCCGAUAAGGCGUCCGCUUGAUACAAGUCGGCCCAAUCACCAAAAGAGGAAGGCACAUCUUCGGCCCACCCGAAUAGACGUUUGAAGGAGUGAAAGAAACAUGAUUUCAUUUGAGCUUCGUUUCUAAUUAGUCUGCCAGACUCAUCUUCAAUAAACUGUAUCUCAUUGCUUCGCUUCCGACCAUUGGCAACUGCAUGAAAGAAAUUUGUGUUAUUGUCCCCUUCCUUUAGCCAGUGUUGUUUCGCUCUCGUUUUCCGGAGGAUUUCUUCCUCCUGCAGGAUAAGUUGAAGUUGUGCUUUAAGGUCUACCCGUUUCUCCCGUACAUCCUGUGGCAGUAUGUUUCGUUCCUCUAACAUAUCGAUGUUUCUAAUUUCCUCUUUAAAACACCUCAACGCAUUGGCUAUACUGUGAAAUUUCGUCUUACACCAUUCCUUUAUUCUAAUCCUGCAGUGUCUCAAUUUUGCCAUUAAAGUAAGUAUAGCAGACCUCCCUCCAGAUACUUCAUUCCACCAGAUAGGUACGUUUUGUGAGAAGUCCUCCCUGGUAAGCCAUACUUUCUCAAACCGAAAUCGCCGCGGAGUGGGAUUGGUUCCAGAGGCCAGAAUUAGCGGGGUGUGAUCGGAAGUAAUUCUAGAUAGCGCGGAUACCCUACAGUGCGGGAAGGCUUGAUCCCACUCCGUCGAAACGAGAAAUCUGUCCAGCUUGACUAGGGUUGGUGAACGUUGCAUAUUAGACCAAGUAAAAUUUUGGUUGGAAAUGGGCAGGUCAAUGGCUUCAAGUUUAGAGAUGAGGUCAGAGAACAUAAACAUCGCUUCUGUACUCCACCGAUUUCCGGAGCAUUCUGCCUGGUUUCUAGUGAAGUUGAAAUCCCCGCAUAUCGCCCACUUACUGUUGGAGCAAAUCGCGCCAAGAGCGAGGAGUUCAAAACAGAACUCUUCUUUCCCAUCCCAUGUUGGCGGACCAUAUACAUUUGACAGAUAAAAACUCGUUCCACCGGUGACAUGUUUCAAGUUGAGGGUGAGCGAGUGAUCGCACACCAAAACUUCCGUACACUCGAAAAAUUUUGAGUUCCAACAUGUAAUUAAACCGCCAGAGGCUCCAACAACCGGAAUAAAUUGGCACUUGCCGAAACUCGAACCACAGCAAGAGCGAAGAAAGGAACGAGACGCAGAAUCCACUUUAGAUUCUUGGAUACAGACUACCGAACAAAAGAGUUUAGAGACAGUAGACCUGACACAACGACGCUUACAAGGGUCGUUUAGACCGCGAACAUUCCAAGUAAUAAUAUUAAACAUAGGAAAAGUGACACACACCCAAAAGUCGGCCCAAACACAACUCGAAACUUGCUCCAGAUCAACCCCGCAGCAAAAACUUGUGGAGCUCCUCGGCNAGGACCUUAGGGGAACCGGUCUCUUGACCUCAGGGACCGGUCCCUGAACAUAGAAAAGUUCAGUAAAGUAUUUUUAAAGCAAUCUAAGCCUUCUGAACUUAUUCUAAUCAACUAUCUUCAUCACAAAUGAUCUUUUCUUCAUACCUUAGGUGCCGAACUUUACGAGUGAGUCUUUUCCCUUCAAUUUAGAUCUUUUCUUCAAUCUUCUGCAAUCAACUCUUCAAGACUCCAUUCAACAUUACGAAAGCCGCCAACCUAUAAAAUCCUUAACACUGUCGAGAGAACGCCCUUUUGUGGUAGUUGAAAAUGUCCGAAACACAAAAAGUACUUUGGAGUUGAGUCCGCGAGAGCAAAUGAGGCAAACUGCAUCAUUGGGCUGAUGUUGCUCUCGGGGACCGGUCUCUCCAGGUGAGAGACCGGUUCCCUCGGCUGGGUGUAGCGGGGUUGCUUGGUGCAACCGGUCCCUGGUAGGGAGGGAUCGGUUCCCGAACGUGGUCCCAGCGAGAAUUGCCAAAAAUUGGCUAAGUCUUGAAAAUUGAGCUCUCGCGGACCGGUCUCCCAGGUGAGGACCGGUCUCCUGAGGACCGGUCUCCCGGGGGGAGACCGGUUCCCGAACGCGUGCGCCCGAGGGAAGCUCUCGGGGACCGGUCCCAAGUCGGGGAGACCGGACCCUCCGCGCGAAAACUGCCUUGUGAGGGCAGUGCACAGGAGUGAAAGUUGAGGGGCUUUUAUGCAAAAUGGCUUUUAUUUGAGUGGGCUGAGCCCUCUCUCUCCCUCACACUCAUCUCAUUUCACUUUCUCUCACUCUCUUUCUCUCUUGCUCUCUCUCUCUCUAGAAAAAAAAGGAAAAGAGAAGGAGAAGAAGAAAGAGAAGAAGAAGAAGGAGAAGAAGAAGAAGAAAAAGAAGGAGAACAAGAUAAGGAAGGCUUGGAGCAUCUUCCUCUCUUUCUCUCUUCUCCAUUUGUGUAGCUCUUGAGGUAGGCUACUAAACCCUAGCUUUGUAUACUUAGGGUUUUUGGGUUUUUAUGCUUUGGAAUGGGUCAAAUGGACCCCAAGCAUACUUCUAAGUAGAUCAAUCCCAUAAAUCUAGGGUUUUAUUAGAGGUUUGCUAUAUGUGCAACCUAGGGCUCCAAAUGGGGGCAUUUUGUAAAGUAUGAGAUUGAUCUCAUUUGAGGCCUUGUAAACCUAAUCGAUAGGUGCCCAAACGCGGGGGCGAAGUCAAUUUUGCGAUUCGUCAAGAGGGCUUGGAGCUAUCGGCGAAAUACGGUUGUUUCGGCACUAUCUUGGACCAAGGAAGGCUAAAGCCUUUUCGUAAAACUCACCGAGGAGCGUUUUUGGGGCCUCUACGUUGAUUAAAGGUGGGGGGUGCCAUCCCGAAGCUUUCGAACUCCUUUCUAUGUCUUAGAUUGCAUUUAAUCUCAUCUCUUCAUGUUGCAUUGUAGGAUUGCAUAGUAGCACCAUUCCUUAUGCUUUCUAAAUGAUAACCUAGUGUACUUGGAACGCUUGGUAACUUAGAUAGGUGAGGAUUGGGUCGGAACGUGGAUCCUAUGAUGCGAAAGAAAAGAGAUGUACCCGAUGGGGGUGUUGAUGACAUAGAAAGUAUUGUUAAUGUUAAAGAACAUACAAGUGGCAUCCAAACAUUGAAUGAUGACGAGUGGCAUUAAUGUAGUGUAUACGACACUAGAGGUUUGAGAACCUAGGGAUAGGUGGAUCGCUUAGAAAAUGCCUUGCGGACAAGAACUUAGUAAACCUAAGUAGCCUCACAUUGAGAGGUUGUUGAUGAGUCGAUUGAGACAUUGACCCUAGUGGUAGGGCAUCCUCACUUGGAGAGGACUCGAUUGGGUAUUGACUCUAGUUGAUAGCAUCCUCACUUGGAGAGGAUUGGAUUCGGUUGUUGACCCUAGUGAUAGUGCAUCCUCACUUGGAGAGGAUAGAUCUAGCUCACAGUCUGCGUUUGGGAUGGUAUAGCCAUCCAAUCCCCACAUGGAGGGGAUUGUCGUCGAGUACUCCGAAGUGUCGCGCGACUAGGACCACUUGGAGGUCCAGACCACAUGGAGGUCCGCAGACGGUCCUGGGCUUGGGUGCACUUGGAGCUCCCUCCCCACUUUGGGAUUGAAAGGUAAGUUAUGGGCGAGCCCUAGGGCCUCGCCACAGAUUGGGUAAAUGGAAAUGUUAAAGGUCUAACAAUGUUAUUGAACAUAGCUAUUCGAACAUGGAUCGAAUUUGUUAGCAUGGUAGCAAACCUUUAUUAUAUGAUGCAUGCAUUCAUAUUAAUGAUUAUGGGCAUAAUAGCAUAGUUUUCCUACUAUCGCAUUUACAGCUUUCACAUACAUAUCUAUCUAUCUAUCUAUUUGUUGUUACUUGUGCCCACUUGGACCUAGUGGGGAGAUCGGCAGAGUCGGCGGCCGAGCCCACUGGGAACUAUGGAAGAUAGUUCUCACCCCACUCUAUUUCCAGUGGUAGGUUCAGGGCUGCAGAUAGAGGACCGCGGCAAGGGCAUCGCGCCCGACCAGUGAGACCGUGGUAGUAUAGUAGCUUUCCUUUUUGCAUUAGUUCACCUAUGUAUUGAGAGAGAUCAUUGUAGGUGAGGAUUCAGAGAGCUAUGUAUUUUGAAGAUGAAAAAUGUAUUCAUGUAAAUGAAAUGUUGGAACUAUUGUAAUAGUUAGCAAGUACUCUCUUUAUUUCACUUGUUUUAUCUUGUGGAUCGCUUGCUCCUUGUAUUGUUGGCACUGUUUGUGCCCUUGUGAAUGUGUAUGCUUAGAAUUUAAUUUUCUGGGUAAAUUCUUGUACACAUUCCUGUUGUUGAGCCUUGGGCGAAUAGGGGAGGUGCUGUCCGUUCGGUGGCUCGCCGCCGCGGCCGAACCGUACCAAAUUGGUAGUGGUUUCGGGGCGGAGCGUGACAAGUUUCUUAUAUAGUAUAAAUUAUUGAAUCAAAGGAUUUGUUUAAAUAAAAUUUCUAUCAAAUGAUUUUUAAAUAAAAACAAAAUUUAAAAUCUAGAUAUUUUUAUUUUUCUAACUAGUAUGCUUAAUGAUUUCUUAACUUCAAAACUAAAAGAUUCGAUUCAUAUUAUGAAUCCGUAUCCCUCUGUCAUCCAAAUUGUAUUUGAACUUGUUUCGAUCAAAUAUGAUUGUGAAAUUUAUCAUCCAUUCAAUAUUUGUGUCCGAAUUGGUAUCCGCAUAUCAAAUACAAAACUGUUAAGCUUAUUAGAUCAUUGUCAUCCCUAAUUAAGAUACCACUGUUUGUGUUUGGCAUGUGAGCCAUUUUAUAUCGGACGUUUUUGGGUCAUGCUGGGAAGUAAAAGUCAAAUAUCCUGAUUAUAUCAGGAAAGAGCAGAGCAGAGCAGUGCAAAGGUAGGUGGUUAUUAUCCAUCCAUAUUAUUAUACCGUUUGUACUCACUCCCGCUUAAUUUAUUUAAUUAUUGGUAGUCCACACUGCACAGCAGCGGGCUGCGAGCUGCCAUAUUCAACUCAUUACCCUUUCUCCUUCUUUUAAAAAUAAACAAAACACCUUUUUAUUUCUUCCAAAGAAAAGAAAGUUGAAACAAAUAGGAUGGGAUGGGAUGGGAUGGGGGCAACAUUCAGCACAGAAUCCGUGCCAACUACCGCCCAACCCCCACCCCCACCUCCACCUGCUCCCUUUAAAAAUUCUUCUCAAACAUUAUUAGCUAGCUCUCAGCCACGCUACCUGGAGACGGCACAAGUAUUAAAUAUACAAGAAUAUUAAAGAGUCCAUCACCCGAGGAAGGUCCCAAACACAUUCUCCAUCAAUUAAAUAUAGAAUAUUAAAGAUACUAUCAUCCAGAACUCAGCUUUCAGAUAAACUAAGCUUCUGUAUUUCAAUCUCAUAAUAAAGAGUCCUAAUUUUAUUUCAUUUUCUCUCGUUUAAUUAUAACAUAACUUCUAUUAUGAUGCACGCACCCUUCUCAUUUGAAACAAAACGAAAAUGCCUGCGCCUAAUAUAAUAGGUAGGUCAUUAUUAAAUUCCAGAAAACACACUAAACAAACGAGAGAAAGUAGAGAUAUUUUAGACUAAAAAAAUUACCGGAGUGGCUGGAUAGUUAGGAAAAGAAAAUGAACGCACAAGGAAGUAAUAAACUGAGCGCACUCUGGAAAUGUUGGCUCCCUAAUACAACACAUUCUUCCACUUUGCUUAAGAGCCAUGAAAUUGACACUGCAUCAUACAAUAUUUGUAGCACACUGAACUUUAAUAAAUUAUAAGGUUUCAGUGUCCGAAUAGUGUUUGGUACUAUUCUGGAUGUGUUCGAGGGUCGAGAACUGUGUACCGAUCUAUUACUCGCGUUUUGUGAAGCGAUGUGAGUACUUAGCACCAAAAUAUGCAAACUGCAAGUUUUUGGGUGCUGAAUACCGAUACCACAGUGGGGUACCGAUACCUUGACGUGUGACUGAGAGGGCUGCUCUCGGGUUUGAGCUGAUCUAUUACUCGCGAAUAGUGUUUGGUACUAUUCUGGGUGUGUUCGAGGGUCGAGAACUGUGUACUGAUCUAUUACUCGCGUUUUGUGAAGCGAUCGUGAGUACUUAGCACCAAAAUAUACAAAAUGAAAGUUUUUGGGUGCUGAAUACCGAUACCACAGUGGGGUACCGAUACCUUGACGCGUGACCGAGAAGGCUGCUCUCGGGUUUGAGCUGAGGGGUGCUAAUUAAGUAUCGGUACAGAGUCGUCGGGUACCGGUACUCGGGCCGGAUACUGAUACUGCAUCGAGCUGGUACCGGUACACCGUAGUUUACCCACUUGAUAGAGGCUCGGGUUUUGCAGAUUGGUUGACGGGUACCGGUACUCUCCUUCGAGUACCGGUACACAAUGCAGUCUGACAUUUUAGCUCCUUUAACUCCACCAGUGCUAUUCUAUACGGAGCCUUCGAAACUGGUUCCGCCCCGGGAAUCAAGUCAAUGAUGAACUAGACUUCCCAGUCCGGUGGCAGUCUUGGUAACUCCGCCGGAAAUACAUCCGGGUACUCGCACGCUACUCGAAUAUCCCCCAACUCUGGGUACUCCUUUCGAGCAUUCACUGUCACGCCCCGACACCCGCCUAUUUGGUCGGAUUUGGGCACGCCGACAGACCGCCGAACAGACAGAAUUUCUCCUGUACGUCCUAGGCGUCGCAAUCAAUACAAUUCACGAUGUUCCAACCAAGAACAGAAAUCAACAUACAGAUUGCAUAUGGAAAGGUAUCAACAACAUAAACACAUCUUAUGUUAUUACAAGCAUUCACAUUGAUACAUUUGCUUACAUCUCAAUUACACUUUCUCUCCAACAUACAAUAUGAGUUAUUACAAUUUAUUACACAUUUGAUACAUCUUGUUCUUUUAUUUUCCUCUACCCCUAGGCUAUGCUGACUCGGGGUACCACUAUCUUUGGUCUCUGGGUAGGGUGCUAUCUACGGAGCUACGCCCUUGCCUCGCGCCGCUGCGCCGCUCAUGUGCAAACCUGUAAAACCCUAAAACAACGUGUGGUGAGAACCAACUCCAUGGUUCCCAGUGGGUACAGCCACCCAGGGGAAAAGCUCGACCAAUAGGUCCAAGGAAGCACUGCAACAAGUUAGUCCAAUAACAUAUAACAGAUAUAUAUAUUCGAUAUUGAACUAAAUGUCAUGCCUCGCAAAAUGCAAUAUGCAAUAUCCGUAACUUGAUUCUACUUCAUAUUAUUAACCAUUCUUUACUUGUAGCCGUUCUUUACUUUAUUAGUUAUUCUUUAUCAUUAGCUUUUCUCUAGUCUUUACUUGGUCACAUAACGCUCAUUGGCGAUUCUUUCCUAAGGUUGCUCAUACCUUAGCCAUCUAUGCCACUUGACUCGGUUUUGAGUCAAUCCUCUACGGAUAGUCCGCACACUGGCUGCUCAACAGCCCAUCGCACUCGAUGACUCGGCCACCCGGCGGCGAAAUCGUCGCACACGCACAGCUCUGGCUCAAGUCACCCUGCGGUAUGAUCCACAAACUGGCUCAACCAUCCGGCGACGAAAUCGUCGCACACGCCAUGACAAUGGUUCUUUAGCCCCGGGCAGCGAAAUCGUCGCACACACCCUGCACAACUCUUGGUGUUCCACGAGUCCUGAGAUUCUGGAAUCCAUUUCACAGUACUCAAGGAUUGGUCUUAACCCUAUGAAAUUGACCUAUCUAGGUCCAAGCCUUUACUCAACCUAAGUUAAUACUUUAGGUUCAUUGCUUUCAUACUCUUAGCCUAGGUUUAUUAACACUAGGUCCAUUAUUCUCGUCUACCUAGAUUCACUUGACUCUAGGUUCUUACCUUUACCUCACAACCUAUGUUCUCUAACAUUAGGUUUAAUGCCUUUCUCGUUAACCUAUGUUUAUUAACACUAGGUUCAUUAUCACUCUUGUUCAACCUAGGUUCACGACUCUAGGUUCAAUGCCACUCGAUCUAUAUGUAUACAUAUGUCCUUUACUCCUAGGUUCACGACUCUAGGUUCAAUGCCACUCGAUCUAUAUGUAUACAUAUGUCCCUUACUUAGCAUUCUUACAUUAACUAUAUUCUUAGCAUUAACCACAUGCUUGCAUUUAUUAAUUCUACAUCAUGCUUAUCAUACAAUUACUUAGCAUUCUUACAUUAACAUUUCUACACAUACAACAUGACUAACGUAUGUCAUUUAUUCUAUGCUUUCCACUUAGCAUUAUUUACACUAUGUCAUUACGCACCGUUUGGUAGCCUCACUUAGCAUUCAUCUCAUGCAUACACAUGGUCUAUUAAUAGCUACCAUUAUAUGCAUCAAUAAUAAUACUCAUUCUUAGACAUACAGGCGACCUAGUCGCUUCGGUAAAUACAACCGACCUUAACUCGCGUUUCGAUUGCUUGUCGACACUUGCAAUCGGCCUCCCGCGGCACCCGUAUCCGGCACAGCCCAAUAUUGCAAUUGCACCACAACCGUGCUCCGCUUCGCAGCCCCGAAAAUUAUAGGUCUUCGGUUAUGUGCCACGGUGCUCCAAAUCCAUUUCCACGAUUUUACGACGUCGCCUCGGCCCUCCAGACGGCAACGAAGCCUAAACGUCUGUUUCUUUAAUAACUUCGCAACGGCUCGUCGGAUUGCCGAACCGUCUUCGCCAACGCAUUUGUUUACCUAGCAAUUAGGCUUACGAAGGGUUAAAUGAGAUCAAACCCACCUCCUAGCAAAAAUUGCAUUACAGAGCCCUAGGUUACAACUAUUGUAAGAAAUCAUUAAAUUGAUCCAUGAUUCAAGCAUUAAUCCUCUAUUUAGCAUCAUAGGAUUCCAAAUAAGCCAUUUCUAUGGAUUAUAAACAAAGAUUUGAAGAUCUACCAUGAAAGGGCUCAAGAAGAUCACCUCAAAAUGAGCUCUAAACCAUGGAGAAGAUGAGGAAGAUGACGGCGAUUCACCUCCAAGCUUCAAUCUCCGCCAAUUUCUUUAAUUUUGGGAGAGAUUUAGAGAGAGAAUUUGAAGUUCUCUCUCUCCCUUCCAUGCGUGUGUGCGUGCGUGUGUAUGUGCGGUUUGGGCUGCUGUGGCUGAGCAAGGAGAAGAAGAAAAGGGUUGAGUCCCUUUUUACCAUUUUUCCCCUCAACUAAACACUAUUCAUCACGGGCAGCUUGAAAUCUGAUAAAUUUCGUUGGAGCCCUUCUGAAUGUCCGUUUGAGCUCAAAUUUGACAGGCAUGUUCGGUUUCACUUAAUAAGUCCAAAAAAAUUUUAAUCUUUCAGUUUCGACCCCGUUUGGUCACUGAAAACUGUACCGAACUACAAUCUUUAUCAGAUAGCUUUCGAAUUCUAUUUCUCUCUCUACGGGUGUCAAAAUGGUAUGAAACUUUAAAUCUAGCCCCAUAAAAAUAAUUCUGACAUAUCCGUCAAUUUUCAUAAUUUUCUGACUGUGAGAUCUCUGGUGUUCAGCUGUGGAGGCUUGUCGGCAGCUCUGGAGAGUGUCGGGAUAAGUUCGAGUCGCGUUGGUGUCAAAUAGACGUAAAACGGGCUUCGUGAGACGCGAGGGCAGUUUUUAGCGAAGAAAAUCUGCAAUUUGCUCAUUUACUGCUUGCUGUAACGGUACAGCCAUCGUGGUGUACCGGUACACUACACAGAUUACGCGCAUACUGCUCUCGGGUUGGCUUCCUGUACCGGUACGCGAUCCCGUGUACCGGUACACCAGGGUAGGUGAGAGGGUGUUUUGGUCUUUUUCUACCUCGUUCGUAUCACCCUCCUCUCCCCAGCUUAUUUACAUAUAGAGUAAGGCUGAGAGAGAGAGUUUUGCUCUUGGUUUCCUCCCCUCUCUCUCUAGAACCAAUUGUGGGCAAGGUGGAGCUCGGGUGGAGUUUCGUCGCCGACGUGGUGCCGCGGAGCCGUUCGAGCGCACGUUGUGUCGUCUUGGUGCUAUGAGGAGCUCGGGCGAGCGUAGAUUUCCGUCGUCCUCGACAUUGCGCCGAUUCUUGAGGAUCUAUCGAGGUGAGUGCUCUGUGGAAUUGCCGCGCAUACUUCAGGUAUCAUCAAUUCGAGCUUAAGUGCUGAUUCGCAGGAUUUUGUCGGCGACUGUUAGUAUUUCAGCUCGUUCUCGACGUAGGAGCAUCGGAUUGCGACGAGACUUGGUGCGUUGGAUUCGGGACUUCGAGAGGAAUCCAAGAAGCCCUUACAUGCGAAUUUUGGUGAAGGUUAGCUUGGUCGAAAUCCUUCUCUUCUCUGCUGCUGUGGAUUUUGGGACUGAAUUGGUGGAUUUUGAUCGUAGAGCUUAGAGUUAGCUCGAGUGCUAGACUUGGAGGGUUCCCGUUAAUCCAGCAGGGGUCACUUUGGUUCGAGGCCUUGUUCGCUGCCAGGAGCUAGCUUCUUGAGGUGGGUUACAUUGGUUUUGACUCCUAAGUUCAUAAUCGUCAACAUGUAUAGAUCUCGAUUUUGAUAAUUUAUUCUAGCUCGAAUUCAUGGAUUAUAUGAUAGAAUGCAAAUCUGAAUUUGGAGCAUGUGGUAAUAAAUUAAGUAGAUUAUAUAUGUUGGACUUGGAAACUGAAUUAGGAGAAAACCUGCGAUUUGGACCGUCACUUGAUUAAACUGCCUGAUUUAGCUCUAGGAGCUGUUAUUAUAUUGUACUGUCGCAGUAUUUUCGAGACGAGUACUCCAGGUAGUUUAGAAUGUAUCUACACUCGUGCUAGUUCGCCGAGGGGAUUUUACAGGGUCAUUCAAGCUGUUCCGUACUGUAGGGUGCCGUUGAGAUUGACGGUGGACCCGUUUCGCCUUUUUGGUGUCUGAUUGUGCCGAGGGCACGUUACUUGUUGGUUGUUAGACCAGUUAGAGUCGAUUUCUUGACUUUGGCUUUUCAGAGCCUGUUUGAGCUCGACAGAGAUACGCUGCAUACUCGGUUGGGUAGCGCCCACGAGUGCCACUCCGGAGUCAGGCUUUGUGCUUUCGCGUUGGUGUCGCUCAUGCCAGUUGGACUUGCUCUCCACGGACCAGUUAGUGUGGAUAGAGCUUGAUAGUCGCAACGGGGCAGGGACGGGUGUAUUCACAGUCCCGGGGACGGGUAUGCUUACAGUCCCGAUUGGAUUGGGUCAGAGUUGACAUUUCCUACAGUUGGUUAGUGUAGAGCAUGAUAGUGUAGUGAUCGAUAGCGGUAGAGUUUAUUUCCUGCUUUUCUGACUACUCUUGCUCCCUUCUGUAGACUUAGUGGGUGGACCGAUGUUGUUUUGGGCGGUACCCACUGAGGACUACUUGUUUUUACAGUAGUUCUCACGCCCAGUUGUUACCUAUGUUUUUGCAGAGCCACAGGUUCCGGCUGCUGCACCGUCCGCGGAUCAGGAUCGAGGCAAGGGCGUCGCGAGUUAGAGCCCUACCCGACGUGCUGAGCUAGAGGUGCCCCUACUGCAGGUAGAUGUUUUGUUUCGAGUUUAUGUACAUAGUGGACUUAACUCGCCAGUGCGAGUAGCUUUGUAUUUUGGAUUUGGACUAUGUAUAUGAAACUCAGUUUGUUUAGCUUCUGUUUUCUCUAGCAGCUCUCUACUACUGUUCGUAGUAGUGUUUGAUUUACAGGUACAGCUAUCGCUUCGUAUACAGGGAAAAUUUCUUUGUAUACGGCGGAUUUGUCGGCGUGCCCGGGGAACGUGUAAUCCGGGGCGUGACAGAUUAAGUUGGUAUCAGAGCUUUGCUGUAGGUCGUUGGGACCUAGGAAACCUAAGUUUGGCAAACCUUAGGGAAGCAAGACGUGAGAGGCGUAAUUUUAUUGCGAAAGUCAAUGAUUAUUUGUUCUAACUCCUCUUAGAGCAGAGUGAGUGACUGAAGGAGUUUCUGUUUCGGCCUGAGAAAUUAUGUUGGCUGCAGACGACAUAAUUUUGGAGGGAAACAGGGACCGCCUUCUAGACUUUCGUUUGAUUGGGUCGAGAGUGUUUUGUUGUAUCUGACCCCGAUUUGUUCCUUUCAGCUAUGUAUCGUCGCCGAGGUCGACCGUCGUUGCGGGAGCGUGCCCAGUUGGCGCGGGAUCAUGCUGGACCUUCUGAGAGAUCUGAGCAGAUGGAGCAGAGUACUCGGCAGGAGCAGGGUGACAGACUGGGGGCGAGUGUACCCCCUGUUGUGGAGCCGAGUGCGCGACCAGAGACUAGCGCACCCCCUGAUCUGAGUGCACAGUUAGCUGCCCUGACCGAGGUGACGAGACAGCAGGGGGAGCUAUUGCAGAGGUUGUGUGAGAGGAUAGCUCAGCCACCGAGUUCUGUACCGAGGGCACCAGAGUCGCCAGUUCCACCCCCGACUACUCCAGUGACAGCACCAGCUGCAGCAGUUCCUCCAUCGGCAGCAGUUCCAGUAGCGCCAGUUGCGCCUGCUAGGGGGCCAGUACCGUUGACUGAGGCCGAGCAGGAGCGGUGGACGGAGAGGUUAGCUCGUUUUCGCCGAUUUGAUCCACCGAUCUUCGAUGGCAGAGGCACUGAGGCCUGGAUUGUUGAGGGAUGGGUCAGUGCGAUGGAGAAGUUAUUCGAGGAUCUGUUCGUUCCAGAGUGGGAGCAAGUACCUUUGGGAGUACACUGUCUGUCUGGUGAUGCACAUGAUUGGUGGCGUAGAGCGAGGCGAGACCAGGGACUGGUGGCGACACAGUUGAGGUGGGAUGAGUUCUGUGGAAUGCUGUAUGGGAUGUAUUUCCCCAACAGCAUGAAACAGAAGAUCGAUGAGGACUUGAAGAGGAUCCAGUAGGGUAGCGGACAGUUCAGGAGUAUGUUCGGGAGUUUACUAGGCUCCUGAACUGUGUUUCGUUCGUGGCCAGAGACGAGGCACAUAGGGUCUACUUGUUUGAGCAGGGUUUAAGACCCGACCUUUUCAGGUUCGUUAGGGCGCAGAGGUCGAGAACUUUGGAUGCGUCCAUUGAGCAGGCAUUAUGGGAGGAGAGAGGAGAGGUGUCGCUGCGGGAGAGGGCUCAGGGGCCGGGACAGAGUCAGGACAGGAAGCGCCCAGCUCCAGACGNUUUAUUGCGAAAGUCAAUGAUUAUCUGUUCUAACUCCUCCUAGAGUGGGGUGAGUGACCGAAGGAGUUCCUGUUUUGGCCUGAGAAAUUAUGUUGGCUGCAGACGACAUAAUUUUGGAGGAAAACAGGGACCGCCUUCCAGACUUUCGUUGAUUGGGUCGAGAGUGUGCGUUGUAUCUGACCCCGAUUUGUUCCUUUUAGCUAUGUAUCGUCGCCGAGGUCGACCGUCGUUGCGGGCGCGUGCCCAAUUGGCGCGGGAUCGUGCGGGAUCCCCUGAGAGACCUGAGCAGAUGGAGCAGAGUACUCGACAGGAGCAGGGUGGCAGACCGAAGGCGAGUGCACCCCCUGUUGUGGAGCCGAGUGCGGGACCUGUGGCUAGCGCACCCCGGGAUCUGAGUGCACAGCUGGCUGCCCUGACUGAGGUGACGAGGCAGCAGGGGGAGUUGUUGCAGAGGUUGUGUGAGAGGAUAUCUCAGUCACUUAGUUCAGCACCGAGUGUACCAGAGCAGACUGUUCCACCACCGACUACUCCAGUGACCGUACCAGCUGCAGCAGUUCCUCCGUCGGCAGCAAUUCCAGUAGCGCCAGUUGCGCCGGCUAGGGGGCCAGUACCGUUGACUGAGGCCAAGCAGGAGCGGUGGACGGAGAGAUUAGCCCGUUUUCGUCGAUUUGACCCACCGAUCUUCGAUGGCAGAGGCACUGAGGCCUGGAUUGUUGAGGGAUGGGUCAGUGCGAUGGAGAAGUUAUUCGAGGAUCUGUUCGUUCCAGAGUGGGAGCAAGUACCUUUGGGAGUACACUGUCUGUCUGGUGAUGCACAUGAUUGGUGGCGUAGAGCGAGGCGAGACCAGGGACUGGUGGCGACACAGUUGAGGUGGGAUGAGUUCUGUGGAAUGCUGUAUGGGAUGUAUUUCCCCAACAGCAUGAAACAGAAGAUCGAUGAGGACUUGAAGAGGAUCCAGUAGGGUAGCGGACAGUUCAGGAGUAUGUUCGGGAGUUUACUAGGCUCCUGAACUGUGUUUCGUUCGUGGCCAGAGACGAGGCACAUAGGGUCUACUUGUUUGAGCAGGGUUUAAGACCCGACCUUUUCAGGUUCGUUAGGGCGCAGAGGUCGAGAACUUUGGAUGCGUCCAUUGAGCAGGCAUUAUGGGAGGAGAGAGGAGAGGUGUCGCUGCGGGAGAGGGCUCAGGGGCCGGGACAGAGUCAGGACAGGAAGCGCCCAGCUCCAGACGACGGAGGUCAGUCGAGUAGCAGGCGUCCGCCGAGGCCUCCACGAUCGCAUUCACAGGGUCGUGGGUUUUCGGGGCGUCAGCGGUCCAGGGACUCUCGUCAGAGGGGACAGCCAGAGAGGACGCCGCAGUGUGUGAUCUGCGGAGGACCACACUGGCCCAGACAGUGCGAGCAGAGGGAGGGCCGGUGCUACGGAUGUGGUCAGCCGGGACACAUGAGGGCAGCUUGUCCCCAAGCAGCAUCUCCAGCACCAUCGUCAGCUUCAGCUCCACCAGCACCUCAGCAGACUUACAGAGCAGCGCCGAGUUACCGCCAGGAUGAUAGAUCAUCCAUGCCGCGACAGUGUGAGCGGCGACAGCAGGCUCCGAGUGGCAGAGUCUAUGCAGCACAGGUGGAGGACUCUACGGCAGCCAACCGAGUGGUGGCAGGUAUCACUUUGAUUUUCGGCAUUCGUACUCGUACUCUUUUUGAUACUUGAGCCUCGCAUUCUUUUGUUAGCCGAGCAUUUGUAUUGUUGCAUGGUCUAGAGUUAGGGGCAUUGUCACAGGCACGAGAGGUGCAGAUUCCGGUCCAUGUUUUACAGGUUGCAGAGUGUUGUUGGUCAUGUCCGGUGCAAUUGGAUUCGUGGGUUAUGCCCGCAGACCUGUUGGUGCUAGGGCAGCUGUAGGACUUCGACGUUGUGCUCGAUAUGGAUUGGCUGGCGCGGUACUAUGCUACGAUUGAUUGUGGAGCGAGGACGGUGACGUUCCACGAGCCAGGCCAGGAUGAGUUCACUUUCAGAGGCUGCAGGAGUACGUUGUUUGCCACCUGGAUCUUUUCGGCGAGGCUCGACAGAUGCUGAGUAGCGGGUGUAUUUGUCACGCCCCGAGGUCCCUUUUAAGUUUGGAAAAACAGCGGAAACGACUAAAUUUUUUUUUUGAAGCACCUGAUCCCAGAUAUUGUCAGAUCCGCCACAAAUACAGAGAAUCCACUAUUCACACGGACAGAGUCUCCCCUGUAUUUGCACGGCGUCGCACAAGUACAAAAGUACAAACAGUAUACAACCACAACUAAAUGAAUAUACAGAUAGCUAUACGUUCAUACAUUUACCAUUCACACCGUAGUUUUACAUUCGAUGUUUAAACAAAAGUCCACGAAAAACCUUUUAAAAACUGUUCCAUACGCGAAAACUUUUAUCUUUUAUAAAGGCUACCACGAGGGGUAGAAAACCUUUUAUUUUACCAAAUCCAGAAAUUCUUUUAUUACAUUCAUGAAAGUCCACAUAUUCUAAUGUAAUAAAAAUACUGAACCAUAUAAACUGACUAAGCUAUAACAACAGAAUAGUAGGGAUAAAACUAAACCGAUAAUCUGGGUCGGAAGCUCUAUCGACCGCUACGAACGUACCUCACGGCUCGUCCCAAAACUCAACGUCUGCAACACCUGAAAAAUAGUGGGGGAGGUGAGAACAUGUAAACAUGUCUCCCCUCCCAGUGGGUACCGCAAGCCGAAGAAGGCGAGGAGUACUCACCGGAUCAGGAAGAGAUAAACAACAGUAUGGGUAAGUAAAAUACAGUAGCAACGAUAAUGAACGAAUGAGAUAUAUAUAUGAAAACACAACUACCGCUACUGUAAUGUACAACUGCAAGCAUACAAGGAUAUCAAAACUAUAGUAGCAAGACAACUGUAAAGAAAGAACUAGAAGUAUAUAUGCAACAACCGCUACUAUAGCUAUAUGCGUCAACCGGACGAGAAGUCCAAAAGUACCCAAUCUAAACCGCCGUGUCGGUCUAAGGACCUCAGGCAAAAGCCACUACCUGCUCACACCUGGCAUGUAACCCUAGCACAAAGAGAACACCGCUGGGCUCACGGGUCGGAUGUACGACCACUUUUCCGGAAAAGAACACCCUCCUGCGGGGGAUCAACCCGCUGGUGUACGUGAAAUGCACUCGAGCUGUGGCGAUCAAUGCGGAUAUGAUCAAUAGCCAAAUGUCGGCAACCAGCCAACAAUCACCGCCCCUCGGGGCAAGCCGACCAAUAGGUCAUCAAACUAUAAAGAAGCACAAGAACCGACCACUCAAGUCAACUAGGAUGGAACGACUCUACAUCCUCUCAACUGUAUGUAAGUACUGACUAAUCAAGUCAACUGGGAUGGAACAACUCAACAUCCUACCAAAAGUAUGUAGAUACUGAUCAAUAGGUCAACUACUGUAUAUAUGCAAGAAUCGAUCAACAAGUCAUCUGAGUAUAUAAUCUAGAACUACCGUCGGCCAUGGCCGACAAUCCUACCCCUCAGGGUACACCGACCUCAAAGGUCAUCAAACGACAGAAGUCAAGAAACAGACCAACCCAAUACAUAAUGCAACAACCGACCAACCAGGUCAACAGAUAUAAGAUAAAAGCACCGAUCAACUAGAUCACCGAAACGAAGUACGAGAACCGACCAAUCAGGUCACCGAAACAAAGUACGAGAACCGACCAAUCAGGUCACCGAAACGAAGUACGAGAACCGACCAAUCAGGUCACCGAAACAAAGUACGAGAACCGACCAAUCAGGUCACCGGUAUCACAUAUGGAUAAACUACUCUACUCCUACACAUGAUACUAAGCAUAGAAACAUAUAAGUAGAGUAUAAUAGAAACAACGGGGAUGCAAGCUCA
rnacentral:lncRNA from 1 species